rnacentral:rRNA from 1 species
CUUGGUCAUUUAGAGGAAGUAAAAGUCGUAACAAGGUUUCCGUAGGUGAACCUGCGGAAGGAUCAUUAUCGAGUUUUGACUGGGUUGUAGCUGGCCUUCCGAGGCAUGUGCACGCCCUGCUCAUCCACUCUACACCUGUGCACAUACUGUGGGUAUCAGAUCGUGAAGCGUGCUCUUUUACCGGAGCUUGUGAAGCGUGUCUGUGCCUGCGUUUAUCACAAACACUAUAAAGUAUCAGAAUGUGUAUUACGAUGUAACGCAUCUAUAUACAACUUUCAGCAACGGAUCUCUUGGCUCUCGCAUCGAUGAAGAACGCAGCGAAAUGCGAUAAGUAAUGUGAAUUGCAGAAUUCAGUGAAUCAUCGAAUCUUUGAACGCACCUUGCGCUCCUUGGUAUUCCGAGGAGCAUGCCUGUUUGAGUGUCAUGAAAUCUUCAACCUAUAAGCUUUUGUGGUUUGUAGGCUUGGACUUGGAGGCUUGUCGGCCUUGAUCGGUCGGCUCCUCUUAAAUGCAUUAGCUUGAUUCCUUGCGGAUCGGCUCUCGGUGUGAUAAUAUCUACGCCGCGACCGUGAAGUGUUUGGCGAGCUUCUAACCGUCUCACUUGAGAGACAACUUUAUGACCUCUGACCUCAAAUCAGGUAGGACUACCCGCUGAACUUAAGCAUAUCAAUAAGCGGAGGA